GACAGAGGGUGCAAACGUUGUUCGGAUUACUGGGCGUAAAGCGCGUGUAGGCGGCUUUGCAAGUCGGAUGUGAAAGCCCACGGCUCAACCGUGGAAGUGGCAUCCGAAACUGCAUGGCUGGAGUCUCGGAGAGGAAGGUGGAAUGCUUGGUGUAGAGGUGAAAUUCGUAGAUAUCAAGCAGAACACCUGCGGCGAAGGCGGCCUUC
rnacentral:rRNA from 1 species